UGGUGUGUCUAUAGCGGAGGGGAAACACCCGAUACAUUCCGAACUCGGAAGUUAAGCCCUCCAGCGGCGAAGUUAGUGCCAGGGUAACUUGGUGUGAGAAUAGCACGAUGCACCUU
rnacentral:rRNA from 1 species